rnacentral:lncRNA from 1 species
GCAGCCACCACGGGCUCGGGAGUAAAAGUCCCUCGCAAUUUCCGACUGUUGGAAGAACUCGAAGAAGGCCAGAAAGGAGUAGGAGAUGGCACAGUUAGCUGGGGUCUAGAAGAUGACGAAGACAUGACACUUACAAGAUGGACAGGGAUGAUAAUUGGGCCUCCAAGAGUCUGCCGUGCACCUGUAUCCUAGUUCCUUGGGCCAUUCAGCAAAGGUCCCUGGCAAGCCUGUCAGCUCCUGGUCUAUUCCAGGCACUACUAGACCCAGAGGCCUUUGCAAAGAAGACGAAGACAAUGAGGAUGGGGAAAAGUGGCCUCUUUCAGACCUUCCUGAUUUGUGAGAGUUCCCAGUCUUCAUAAUGCCAGCCAACCGUUUUUUGAGGACACAUAGUAAACCCUCAAGAAAUGUCUCUUAACUCUCACAAGACCCCAUUGUUAGGUGCAAUUGCAUUCCAUUUCACAGAUGAGGAGACAGACUCAGAGGAGUCAGAUCUCUUGCCCAAAGUCACAUAGCUGGUAACCCCCAAACCAGAUCUGACUCCAGAGCCUGUGCUCUUAACCACUGUGCUGUGGUGUCUCCCUUUUGUUUACAUUUUGAGUUUUCAUCUGUUACCAUUAUAGAAGAUACUAAUCAAGUAGUAACUUGAUGU